rnacentral:rRNA from 1 species
UACGUAGGGGGCUAGCGUUGUCCGGAUUUAUUGGGCGUAAAGAGCGUGUAGGCGGCCAAGUAGGUCCGGUGUGAAAACUCGAGGCUUAACCUCGAGAUGUCAUCGGAAACCAUUUGGCUAGAGUCCGGAAGAGGAAAGUGGAAUUCCUGGUGUAGCGGUGAAAUGCGCAGAUAUCAGGAAGAAUACCGGUGGCGAAAGCGACUCUCUGGACGGCAACUGACGCUGAGGCACGAAAGCGUGGGGAGCAAACAGG